rnacentral:misc_RNA from 1 species
GGAAAAUACCUUGCUGAAUUUGAAUGAUGAGAGAGCGUCCUAAUGGAUUAUUUUAGCUCAAUCAUAGAUAUUCUGUCACUACAAGACCUACCUACCCACAUAAACAACCAAGAUUAACAAAAACAACGCAACAAAUCAAGAGAACUCGUAAAGAAUUCAAAUGGUUAUUCAGCUGGAAAACAAAGUUCCACUUCCGUUGUCUUGAGAAGCCAGACAUCACUUCUGGAAUUUUGUCUCUCUCUCUCUCUCUCU